rnacentral:tRNA from 2 species
UGCUGUGGGUGCCCUGACGCAGCGCCGCCUGCUGAGAGCGGACGACCUGAUGCAUCACCGGCACGUUCGGCUCGAUGCCGAACACAGCGGC